CCCCUUUCAGGGUCACAUCUGGAGAGUUUCCAGUACUCUACCAGUCUCGACUACAGUAGGGUCAGGCAGAGGCCUACCAUUCCACUCCUAGCUGGGCCAGUGGCUAGCGAGUGGAAGGCAAUCUGCUACAAGU